CACCAAAGCCUGGGCUGCCCACCUGUGUCAGAGAGGGACCUGGAAGGAUGUUGGACAAUGUGUGGUUCAUGCCUGUGAGCAUCACAGAUCGGGGGAGAUCCUGCCUGACCAGUCAGGUGCUAACAUGACAGAGACCCAGAGACCAGAACUCCAGGAGAACUUUAAUUAGAAGAACCUUUACUUUAAGCUUGGCUCAUGUUUUACUGAAUGUCAUCUAUUAACGUUUUGAAGAGAGGGAGUUUGGGCAAACAAGGCAGCUGCUGGGAGAGCCAGGAAGGAGUGUGGCUGAUGGCCUUGGUAGUGCAGCAGAAACCUCCUGAACUUUGCCCACAAUCUCAUUUUUCUGAAAUAAAAUGACAUUUGAGCCAUC